GUCUGUAGAAAAUCACCUUCCGCCUCUAUGGUGGACACCAGUGAGAUCGGGCACCUAAAGCCAGCGUGGCCUCAGCUCAUCUCCCGCAGUGCGUGCAGGUGAAACCCAGCCCCCAACACGC
ensembl:snoRNA